UCUCACUUUUCUCACUUUUCUGACUUUUCCCAUGAGCCACGUUUUUGCUGUGCACUUUAUCCUCCUAUCCCAAAAGUCAUAACCUGAAGACCAGUGAUGCCCACACAAAAACCUGCUUAUCCGCUCUCUAUUUUCUCUUCUUCAGGGGAGGAGGAGUGUGAAGAGCUUUAAGAAACAUGGAGUAAAAGCCUUUCUUUUUUUCUCUAUAUAUACGUACUAGGAAACACACAUAAUUGCAACUCCUUCAAAGUAACCACCCUUUUGCUCUGAGGUGCCAGGUCUCCUCAUUUUCUAAUCAUCUACUAUAAAUGUCUAUUUCCGCUAGUUUUGCUGCAAUGCUAAUCUACAUAACAGAGGGUAGGCAUGAAGAGAAGAACAGCCAAGUGAAAGGGACCAAACUCCAGGGAAAAGAUCAUGAGACUUCUGGGAAGUUGCAGAAGCAGAGUCUUCUCUGUUUCGCGGCCGAGUUUGAUGGGUUGCACUGCUUUGAGACCCUUUCCUCCUCCUCCUCCUCUCAUUGAAUAUUCAAUCUCUUGUACUUUACUCUCUUCAGGGAUUAUUUGUCCCCUACCAUUCAUAUUAAUAUAAAAAAAAAAAUCUCACCUAAAUCUUUCCACAAAUAUUUUCACUCCCAACUGGUCCUUGUGAUCUAUUUUUUUCUGUUUAAACAAUGUAGUAACAAAUAUAAAUUAUUUAAAUAUUGUGAAAGAUUGUUUUAUA